rnacentral:rRNA from 1 species
ACGAGUUUGAUCCUGGCUCAGGUUGAACGCUGGCGGCAUGCUUUACACAUGCAAGUCGAACGGUAACAGGCCUUCGGGUGCUGACGAGUGGCGAACGGGUGAGUAAUGCAUCGGAACGUGCCCAAUCGUGGGGGAUAACGUAGCGAAAGUUACGCUAAUACCGCAUAAGCCCUGAGGGGGAAAUGGGGGACCGCAAGGCCUCACGCGAAUGGAGCGGCCGAUGUCAGAUUAGCUAGUUGGUGGGGUAAAGGCUCACCAAGGCGACGAUCUGUAGCGGGUCUGAGAGGAUGAUCCGCCACACUGGGACUGAGACACGGCCCAGACUCCUACGGGAGGCAGCAGUGGGGAAUUUUGGACAAUGGGCGCAAGCCUGAUCCAGCCAUGCCGCGUGAGUGAAGAAGGCCUUCGGGUUGUAAAGCUCUUUCAGCCGGAAAGAAAGCGCAUGGGUGAAUAACCUGUGUGGAUGACGGUACCGGAAGAAGAAGCACCGGCUAACUACGUG